rnacentral:lncRNA from 1 species
GGAAUGCUGACAAGCAGCUCAGGAGAGAUGAAAUGCAGCCCAAAAUCGAGGUCCAAGCCCAUGUUACUCAUGGUGUUUCUCAGGGUGUUUCUCAGGUGAAAUGGCAGGAGCUGGGAGGGAGGUCUGGUUCUCAAACUCCUGGGCACCUAGAAGCUGCUUAGAACCAUGAAGAGCUGAGAAAGGGGCAUGAGGACCUGUGAUGUUUCCUGGGUCAGGGGAAAUCUGGCUGAGCUCAGGAUGUAAAGUAACUUUAUGGUCUUAGACAUGAAGAAUUUGGAGAAUUCCAGUGAACAGCAUCUAUUAUAAAACUCUUAUUCUCUGAGGAAAGGUAUUAUCUUUCUCAAAAAAGGCAGUAACAUCUUUCUCAAGGUCUUAAGGACCUGAAGAUUAAUUAAUUUCCAGAGAAAACAGGUACUAAUACGGUGCCUCUCCCGUCUUUCCCAUGUCCGUGGUUAUGGAAGCGGCAGGCAAACUGAUGUUGAAACUCUAGAUAAAUAUCUACAAUGGAACAUUUAUUGAUAUCUGUAUUUAGAUAUUUUGUGUCAAAUGUCCUGGAUGUCAAUUUGUCAUCAGAAGAUUAUUGAUUUGCAUUUGAAACUGGAGAUGAAGAUUUCUGAUGGAGUGGAAAUGAAAAAUUAUGGCAAUGAUUCCCCAACUCAUCCUAAUAAUUGCCUAUGAGUCUCCACCAGUUUCUUGAUGAAGCUCUCUGAUGAUAAUUGGACUAGACUCUAAUAUAUAGUAAAGCACAAUAUCGUCUCUGUGGCAUCUAGACACUGUUUCCUGGAAGCAGACAUCAGCUGUAGGCUUCCACUCAUGGCAUGGACCUCAAGUUGUACCAAUUAUUCAUUUGGCCACACCAUCAUCAAUUGCAGACAGAAAAAAAUUAUAAGGAUGAGCAAAUCACUGAAUCUUCUUCAGAGAACAUCAAUAUGUAUUUAUGUCCCUGCUGAUUCACCAGAAUAUUGGAGGGAGGGACAGAUAAGAUCUACUGAUCAGAAAUUUUGGGAAUCUGAUAUGAAAUACGUAAGAACAAAGCACAAUGUUUUUAUUUCAUGAAAAGCUCAAAUCAUUAUACUAUCACAUGUUAGCAUCUUAACACAGCACUGAAUCCAUACUGGGAUCAAAGUUGGUACCAUGGGAAUAGUUAUUUAAUAGAAAGCAGAAUAUUUGUGACAACUGCCAUUCCUAUUCAACAAAUUGGCAAGCAAUGCAUCAAAAUCAUGUAAACUCAGUAAAAAAAAGCUGAAUAAAAUACAGAAUGGCCAAAAAU